UCAUCUUGUACUUUUUAAUUCUAAUUUUAAUAUUUUGGACCUGAAGCAAUGGAUGAAUUAAAAUCCUUAAUUGAUUACCCACUAUCAACACUGAAAUGCAUACAGCACUAUUUAUUUAAUAAUAUAAUAAGUAUCUACAAGACUGACACUGAACUCAAAAACUAAUUCAUUAACAACUUAAAUCUACCUAUGUUUUCCUUCUCCAUAAUAUUUCCUUGCAUUCCUACUGGAGGAAAUCACUAUCUUGUUUUUAUGUUUAUUAUUUCCACUAUUUAAAAAAUUAUAUAUGGCUUUGACACACAUAUAUUUUUCCUAUAUAUUUAAACAUUGCUUUUAGAUUAAAAAUAAAGGGAGGCCGGCCCUGUGGCCAAGUGGUUAAGUUUGUGCGUUCCACUUCAGCGGGCAGGGGUUUCACGGGUUCGGAUCCUGGGCGCGGAUACGGCACUGCUGCUCAUCAAGCUGUGCUGAAGCAGCAUCCCCUAUAGCACAAACGGAAGUAUCUACAACUAGAAUAUAUAACCAUGCACUGGGGGGCUUUGGGGAAAAGAAGAAGAGACAGAAAAACAAAAAGAAGAUUGGCAACAGAUGUUAGCUCAGGUGACAAUCUUAAAAAAAAAAAGAAAAAAAGGGUCAUGCUAUAUGUAGUAUUCUAGGACUAAAUAUUAUAGACUUGGAUUUAAAAAUGUUUAAUAUCUACUAACGUAGGGAAACUUGAAUUACAUAAAAAUUUGAACAUGUUUGUGUAAAACGUAAUCCCAAAGGGAGGCAUAUGUUGCCCAAGUAAAAGUUUGUCUAAUUCACAGGCUAUCUUGGGCUGAGGGUCCCUGUUUAGUUUUAUAACAAUUAGCAGUAUCAUCAUUAUUAUCAUCAUUGUAGCAGCUCAUUUUCGUGGGCACCAACUAAAUCCCAAGCUUUGUGUUAAGAUGACUCACUUGCCAUUUUAUUUGAUUCCUCCAUCUUAUCAGGAAAGGAUAAUAUUUCUUUCUGUUUUAUAGAUAUAAAAAGUAUACUUGGCGACAGUAAGUAAGUUUCCCAAAGCCAUACAACCAGCAAAUGGAGGAUCCAGGAUUCAAACCUGGGCAGUCGGAACAAGAGCUGGUUCUCACAGGACAAAUAAACACACAACAGAUUUCAGAGCCCACUUUGAGGCGCUUCUUGUUUCCUACUCAUAAAUGAGAAUGACUUGCCAAAGAAACCAUCCAAGUAAAGUGAAGCGAAGAACCAACUGUCCUUUGGUUUGAGAGAGGUGGCAGAGCAGAGAAGAUGCUAGACUGAGACUCCCAAGUCCUCCAUUCUGGUCCCAAGUCACUAAUCCACCUUAGGACUUUAGGCAAGUAAUUUAACUCUUGAAACACAGUUCCUAUAUGCCUAAAAUGUCUGUCCUGCUCACUUUUAGUGGGUAGUUAUUGGGUUCAAUUGACAGGAUGUAUGGGAAAGUCUGUUAUGAAAUAUAAAGCUCUCUACAAAUAUUAGAUGAAGAGGGGAUUGGGAGAUAAAUUAUUUAUGUUGAGAAUGGAGCUCUUUAUUUAAAGUAAGGGAAGAUGUUUUGUGACCUUUCCCAGGCACCUUCUUUUCCAUCCAUUCUAGUUUUCAUUCUCUUGCCUUGUGAUUUUUUACCUUUUAUUCCUACCAAUGGAUAAUUAAGGGAUUUUCUUUUGAGGGAGGGGAGAGUUCUGAGAAUAUUAACAAAGGAAGGGAGGAACUCAGGCCUUCACUGAUAUAAUUGAUUCAGAUCAGGAUGUGGGCUGAAAGGGUGUGUAAACUCAUUCCCCAGUCAGCAUAUUUAGUGAUUUUAGCAAAAAGUAAAGACACCUGAAAUUCAGAAUGCAUUUCUAGACCCUCACUGCCUAUGGAGGUUUCCAGCUGUCGUCAAAUCGUAUCAUGCGGUGGUUGGAAUUUCAAGUGCUUUUCUGGAACCUCCCACCUUGAAAACUCUGGGCAGCCUCUUCUUGGCACCACAUCAGAGUAAUUUGUAUAUGCUGAUCUCCUGGUGCCUGGGGAGUGAAUGAUGAAAUAUUCAUGCUGGUGACCAUUCAUUUUCCCUCCAGUAAAAGCCUCUGCUAUCAUGCUCUUGAAAGUAGUUAUGAAAUUUGCCUGCUGCUAAAUAUGCCUCUGCUUUUGUGAAAAAACCCAAAUAGAGUUCACAAAAUCAGGUUUCCAGUUUGAACAAGAUGCUUGGAGUGGAUCCUAGAUGAAGUUAUGAGAGUCUUUCCUGAGACCCUCUUUUGUUGUUUUCAAUCCUCCACCCGAGAAUUUGCUUGGCUUUCUGUUCCCGGAGCUUCAUUGUGGUUGGAAAUGUGUCCUUGUCUCAAAGGUUAAUAAGUUUGCCAACCUAAGUGCAAUGCAGAUAUUUUAUAUCUCACUUCCUAACAUCAUAGAUUAUACUGUAACAUCAUAAGUUUGACAUAACUUUGGAUGUCACUGAGGAAUGACAGUUUAGAACUUCUGAAUUAUCCCAGAGGUGGCUCUCAUUUCAAAUUACAAGACCAAAGUUGCAAAAAUCAAAAUUUGACAAGAGGCUGGGCCAAGUAUCCACUGACCCAGAGAGAUGAUUGGAUGGUUGGUUGGAUGGAUGGACAAGUGGAUGGAUAUUUUCGACAUUUGGUGAUGCUCUAAAUGGAAUCUUUUCAAAUUUCUUGUCAAAGUGUAGCAUAUUCACAGAUUUUACUCACAGUAGGAUGCUGCCACAGCAUGGUGUGAUGAGUCAUGUGUGGGUCUGUGCCUGGGAUCUGAAUCCAUGAACCCUGGGCCACUGAAGUGGAGCAUGCGAACUUAACCACUAUGCCACCUGGCCGGCCCCAGGACAUACGUAAUUUUGAUGUGUGGGUGCGCUUCACGGAAGGACAUGAAUUGUUAAGUGCCGUACGCGGCUCCAAGCCACAGGGGCAGUGUAAUGCAGACUGAGGCUCUCAGGACUGGCUUCCUGGGGCUGCAUGUGUGGUGCUUCAAAGAUGCAGGGGAGGAAGAACGGGGUCACCAUAUUUAAACACCCCAAGUAUAAACAACAAUGCUCACCACCAUUCCCAUUAUUCAGUGAAGACUAUUAAUAAACAUUCAAGUUAUAGAAACUAAUAUACAAGCAGAAUUGAGCAAAUUAGGUAGGCAAAUGGGAAAACUGGACUUCUUUCUCCAAUUAACCACCAAAUGUUGGAUAUUAUCUUGAUAUAAAUAGACUACAUAUCCAGCCUUCAGAAUUAAGACUUUCUUUCUUUCUUUUUUCCUGUGCAUCUAUCUAGAUAACUUUAAAGAUUAUUGUUGCUAAUUCCCCAUAUUCUUUUUGCUUAUAGCCUUUUAGAAUACCUAAUCAGAACUCAUAGUGGUCCCUUGGUAAAUAAAAGUGAGGCAUAUUGGAAUUGUUAAAAAGAAUUACUGGUCUUGGUUCUAACAAAUGUAAGAUGAUCAGAAAUUACUGAAGGUGCAUCAUAUUUUGUGUGUCACGUAAGAUAUAUUAUUUUGGAAAAGACAGACAUCAGAUGCCCCCUCCCUCCUCAUCCUGCCCUCAGCCCCCACGACCACACAGGUGCUAUACAGGUAGAAGGAAAGGUUCCUGUGAUCUAUAUAAAGUAGGUGAAAAUGUAUUCCUUUGAGAUGAGCUUGAAGUAUUACAUUGACCUUUCUCCUGAUAAGUCCCUUGGCUUCACAGGUGUAGCAUUUCUCUCUUGAUACUACACACUGACAUUUUAACAAUUACAAUGGGACUUCCCUGAACUGGGAAUAUUGUGAGUGCUACAAUUCUUAGGAUCUUGUCACCCUUCACCACCCUGGAGAGGGGGAGAGAGAUUCUCUAUUCCGUUAUUAACAAUUUUUCAUAGUGGGUGGAGAUCCUAAUGUGAUUGGUAAGCUUGAUGUAUUCAUGGGGCCACAUUUUACCAGUGGGUCAGGUCAGGUCUCAGAGUUGGAGUCAGCUUUGAGGACAUCAAUUUAGGAUAGAGGAAAGUCUGAUUUAGCUUUGCAAGCCUAAGUUUAACUCUACAGCAACACAUUCUAAUGAACACCCACAGGCCGUGGGCAGGGGCUGUUCAUUGUGUAUUUGCUCAGUCAUUAAGAAACUAGUUAUUGUUCUAGUGUUUAUCACCCCUUCAGCAGAAUCAGGGAAGGGAGGAGGUGUGACUGGCAGGGGUGAUAAACUAAAAUCGCCAUAGCAAAGUAGAGAAGGGUUUUGGACUAUUAUGAAUCCUUAUUUCCUUGAAGCGUGAUGGCGAUAAUGCUUUGUCAACCCUUGUGAUGCCAGCAGGCAUUCUGAGUUCUAUAAAGUUUUCUAUGAUUCAGGAAGCCAGACUAAUUUCUGUCUUCACAAUGUUACCCCAUAACUACUGGGUUGGUUCUAUUUCUGGUAUUACAGACACUUGAAGAUAUAGACAGGAAUAGACUAAGACUCAAGUUCUGGAUACAUUUACAGUCUAUUUGGGGAAAGAAGACAAAAACAUAAAAUAAAUAGAAUACAAGGCAGCAUUCGUUAGCUUUCAGAUGAGUAGAAGAAAAAAAUGUGUUGUAACUGUUCAAAGGGGUGGGUGGCAUUUGUGGACUGGUGUGGGGAGGAAAAGUCUGAUCCACGGAAGACGGGCAAUAAUUGAUAGAAUUCAACUAGGCAACUAGCACACACCAUUGGCGGGAGUUUAAACUGGUACAGCCACUUAGGAAAGCGAUUUAGCAAAAUCUCUUAAAAUUGUUUAUGGGCACAAUUUUCCAUCCAGCAAUAGUUCUUGUUAGAGGCUACCCUGGGAAAUAUUCACACGCUCACACAAGGAGACAUGUCUGAGGAUGUUAACGGUAGCGGUGGAUAUAGCAGUGCACACUGGGAACAACCUAAGGGAAUAAGCUCACAUGUAGCCGCAUCACAGAAUCCUCUGUGGGUUUGAAAAACAAUCAGAUCACUCUACGUUAAAAACAUGGAAAAACAUCCAAGAAACGAUGUUAAAUAAACAAAGUCACAUGCAAUCUGAUCUUACUUAGGUUUAGAAAAACAUAAAAUAACAUGUAUGUAAAUGAAAAUACCUAGAAAAAGUAGGAGGAGACGCACUAAAUUGUUGGCAUUGGAUUCGUUUAGGUAAAGACCUCGGACUGGGCAUAAGUUUAAAUGGGAUAUAAGCUUUAGCUCAAUAUGUAUUUACAUUAUUCAGAUAGUUAAAUUUUUAUGAAACAAUUUUUUUUAUGAAGAGUUCAAAUAGACAGAAGGAGAAGCUAGGAAGAGCUUCUCUGGUGCAGGAAGCAGUAAGGUAUCUGAGAAAAUACGCAAAUGUGUGUCCACCCCCUCAAAUAAUCCUUAACUCCUUGUUGCCCACCCUUCCAGUCUAGCUCCUCUCAGGUUUUGCCGUCUAAAAGGCAAACGUGACUGAGUUACUCCCCUGCGUAAAAGGACAAAGAUCGAACUCAACAUGCCAUCCAAGGGCGUCAGGAAUCUGACCUUAUUCUCCUCUCCAGUUCAUUUCUCUCCCAUCGCUUUCCUGCAUCUUCAACUCCAGCUAAACCAAAUCACUUGCAGUUUUGUGCCUAUACCACACUAUCUGUACCUCCAUUAUUUGCCCAUGCCCCUGGAAAGAUGCUCUCUGCUUCUGCCACCUAGUAAUCCUCAAGGCUGUCAAGUCCCAUGUGAAGAUUUUCCUAAGAGCAUCACCUCUCUCACUGUGAAUUUCCAUCUCCUUCCUUUUUGCCUGCAUUUUAGGCUGCAGGCAAAAUACUUCUAUUACCUACAUCACUGUCUUGGACUUAUUUUUCAAUGCCCAAACUUUAAUAAACUUUGGUGGUUUAAAUUCUUUGAGUAGGGGCUACAUACGGCAGAAAUUCAUUCACUUACUCCCGCUUUCAUUUAAAAAACAAUUGAGUGCCUGUUACAUUCCAGGCAGUGUGCUAGGUGCUGGAGAAUGCAAAAUUGAGGAAAACAUGAUCACAUCCUCAAGAAUCUUAUAAUCUAGAGGUAAAGGAAGAAAUGAAUGGAGAGGUUAAAAGAAAAAUUAAGAUGAUGUUAUGCCAUGGGGAGGGGUACUUCGCAAAAGAGGACGUGGUGGACAUUUGAUGUUGCUUUGGCUGCCUACUUCCAUUCCUCCCAUUUCCUAAUAGUGCCUGAUUUUCCUACAGGAAGGACUUCACUAGAUUAUGUCUGGCUCGCCCCAGCCCAACAGAAGGCAAGUAUUCCAAGCAAGACCGGACACCCUGUUCACUCCUGCCAUUAUCAUCUUGAGUAGAGGUACACGAGGACAAAUGUUUUGGUCACUUCCAAGGCAACAGCAGCUCCAGACUGCGCCAGCCAAGUAGUUUCUGCAAGUGUUUCUUUUCCUGUCCUGCUUCCAGCCCCAGUCUCCUGCUUCUCUCCAUUCUGUGAGGUAUCAGGCAUCCAAUCAUAUUUCUCUUUUUGCUAUAAUUUCCCAGGGAGUUAGUUUCUGUCAUUUGUGAUCUGUAACUCUGAUACCCUGGGCAAGCAGUAGCCAAUGCCACAGAGUAGUCAAAGGUUCAAAGCCUGAAUAACAGCAUUUGGAUUCCAUAUAGAAGGUCUCAAUGCAAUUCAGGUUUGAAGUUGGGUCAUAGGUUGAUUACAGGGGUGCAGCCAGCGCUGCUCAUCCCACCAUGCCUGACUGUUCUUUCUCUUGUGGUUAGUUGCAUUUUUGAAGAUUUGGAUAAAGAAGGAGAUAAUGAAUUCCAAGGAAUUAAUUUCUCCAUAGGCUGAAUGGACCUAUUGGUAGCUGUCAAAGUCCACUAAUAUAUGAGUCAUUUUUAUAGAUAGGAACAACCUGGAGCCGGCAAGCUUGCUUUGUAAGCCUUUCUUAGGUGCUGAAUCUCUUCAGAAUUUGUCUUACCUGAGCAAGAGUUUUUUUUUUUUUUUUUCAAUUGGCUAGUUUAUUGACUUGGGCUUGUUUUGGGAACCAGUCAACGAUUAAUAUGGCUUUUAAAUGCCUCAGGAAUUCAAGGAGAUGGAAGAUGUCUGGGUCCCUGAUUGACUUCACGGAACAAACCUUUCCCCACUGCUCACUUCUGACAUAAGCAGAUGGCUUGAGUGAGCCAUCCAGUCUUACACUUUCCUUCUUUGCACUUGUACCUGAGGGCAGGACGGUGGCUGAGGCUCUAUAUAAGUUCAAGUUUAGUUAAGACAAAAACACCUGUAAAUUAAUCAUUUAGUUCCCUAUUAAGUGUUGAUUAUCAGUGAGAAUGGAGACACUUUGUUUUGCUAGGUGAGCUCCCUCCGAACUGCCUGUCUCAGAGGUGAUCCAUCAAAGUACUUCUCCUCUAGGAAACAUUGUCCAAUCCUACUUCCGACCAGGUAUGAUUUUUCCUCCCCCUCCUCUUGACCCUCCUGCCCUCCACUAAAUUGUCAAAGCACUUUUAUGGUGUUGAGGUUAAGUGCUCUGACUUUAGAGGCAGAGAGAACUGUGGUUCAAAUCUAUGGCUCUGCUGCCUCUGUGCUGUGUGACCUAGGGAAAAAUUCUUCACUUCUCUGAACCUCAUUUUUGUCCUCUACAAAUUUGGUAUAAUAACUAGCUCAUAGUGUUUACUUUGAAGACGAAAUAAGAAAACAGACGUUAAAGGAACAUAGUUGGCCAUGUAGCAAUUUAGUUAUUGAUGGUUGUUUUUGAUGAUUAUUAUUUAUGUAUUCAUUGUUGAUAAUAUUCGUUAACAAUCUCUUUCACAGCACUUACCAAAAUCUAUAAUAUUCUUGUUUAUUUGUUUUCUCCCCCAGGAGAACAUAAAAAGCUUUAUUCUUGUGUGUUUUGUUCAUCAUUGUAUCCCAAGUAUACAAAACAAAGUAGGGCAAAUAUUUGUAAGAUAAGCUUUUGCAAGUGCUGUUAUUCUAUUAUUCUGCCUCAUGUUAUUGCUGUUCUAGACCACGAGGCCGACAUUAUUCAUGCACGCAUGCUGAGAACCUAGCACAGUGUUUGGAAGAGCGUAGACACGCAGCAUCUAUUAUUAAAUGAAUGAAGAAACUAAAGCUGCAUCUGUCCCAAUUAUCCUUCUAAUUAGAAACUUUCUUCAUGACAGACACUGUGGCUUAUCUUUGUAUCCAUGGAACCUAAUAGGUGUCCAGUAAACAUUUGCUGAAUUUGUUCUGUGAAAAUUGAGAGGAGAGAUUUGUGACUUCAUUACAGAAUUGCAAUGAGCUGAGUUCAUUUCUGCCAGUUCUUCUAUGUUCUGUCUGCCUUGGUUUAUUUCUGGUCUCUAUUGUGGAACCUGGUGUGAGAAUCUAACAACAGGAAGACAAGAGGGAUUAAGAUUAACUCAAUAAGUACUGAAUGAUUGUUCCCAAUAAACCAACAAUAGUCCUUCCUAAUUCCUAUUCAGCCCCCACAACUGCAUCAUGGCAGGUGAGAGAAGUCAGUCACAUUCUGUCCCCGCUUCUUCAGCCGUCAUGAAUAUGCCAGUGAAAAACCAGUAGUGUCGAGGACAGACCAGAAGGCGUAGAUAACUCCCGUAAGAGGGGACCCGGAAGGAGGGGCUGGCUUUCACUGGGAGCGGUGGUGCUAUAAUAGGCUGAUUAUGUAAACACAUGAGUCUUGGGCCCUUUUAAACACCAGCUCAUUUAGCUGCUCUCUUUCCCACAAAAGACUGCUUUCUGUCACUGUGCAGGGUGGAAAGGAAGGGAGAAGUCUGACAUCAAAGGGAGCUGACUGCUCCUUUCAGCAUCCGGGACAAUUCCUCUGAUUGCUUUACCCACCAAAUGGCUCUCCCUUCACCAUCAAUGGGUAGGACCUGGCUAAUGCUCUCCGGUCAAGACAUUGCCCAGGAGUAACCAACAAUGUCCACUAGAAUGAGGAACAGUAAUUGCAAAAAUGAGCUGCCUGAAUUAAUAACCCAAUUAAUACUUAACUUGCAAUAACUAGUUAACUCUCACCCUCUCUUACUCCUUUGAACAGGCACCUUAGAGCAGGAUGACCUGAAUGACAUUGUAAUCCCAUUGAAUGAAAUUGUAAUCCCAAUUCUGCUAGGCUCCAGGAUCACUACAAAGGUCCCUUACUAGUUGUGUGACUUUGAAAAAGUCGCUAAACCUCUCUGGGUCUUAGCUGUAAAUAUAAUGUUAUACCUGCCUGAAGAUGCCAGGCUUGGCUUGGUCUUUUGAUGUCUCUUGCGCCUCUCACGUUGUCAUACCAUGAAAACACUCCGGAUAGUCCCAGUCUAGAGUAGUUGUGGGGGGUUAAAUGGGGACAUAUUGGUGAUAUUCUCAGUUGACCCCACUCUCCUUUCAAAAUUUUCCCCAAAAUGUUGGUUAUGUGGAGAUAUAAAGAAACAUCAUGUCAGAGCCACAUGCAGGUUGAUAAAAAGUAAAAAAUACAGAAGGGCUCUGAACAAGUCCUUGCAGCAGUGUCCUCUCAGGUGGGAACCAGAGAACCUAAAAGGUGCUUGAAUGACAAGUACAGGCACAUUUGUAGCAGUGUAAUCUUAACAGCCUGCAACUGGUGGUAACUCGUGUCCACCAAUGUAAGAAUGGAGUGAGAAAUUGUGAUGUAUUAACACAACGAGGUAAUGAAAGGAACAACAUGGAUCAAUCUUACAGACGUUGGGCUGUGUGAAAGGAAGACGGGGGGCGUUUUAGAUAUUGACUUGAAUAUUGACUUGGCUGUGGGGUUAUAGAAAUGUUCUGUAUCUUGGUCUGGUGGUAGGUAUUUGAGUGUUUUUAGGUAUAAAAAAUCACCAAGCUAUAUACUUAAGAUUUGUGCACUAAAUGUAUGUUACAUCCUCAUAAAAGUAUGUGUAUGUAUACAUACUGAUAAUUAUUCAGUAAUUUGGAAUAUAUAUGCACGUGUAUAUACAUAUAUAUGCAUACAUGUAUAUGUUUUCUUUUUCACAUGGAGGGAAAUAUAAAGAGGAAUAAAGUGGUCUCAACAAAUCCCACAGUAGUAUUACCAACAAGAAAGGGCAUUUGGAUUUAGAUGCUUAGAGGCUCGAUUACAUUUAUUGUUAUUAGGAAAUUAUUUCUGAGGAAGGCCAACCCCUACUAAAUUGCUAAUCAGUCUCUGACUAGUGCCCCUGAGGUGCACUAUGAGUCAAAUGAAAUUUAUUGUGACAGGAUCGAAUCGUAUUGACAUCUCAGUAGCGGUCUCUGUGCCUCAUCAGUUAGCACAGGAAAGAGUAUAGGAAAUAUCAAUCACAGAAGCUCAUUCAGAACCAUCUUUUAAAACGUGGAAUCUGUGUGCUAAAAACACAGCGAAGUUCAUUAAUUAGGAGGUGGUGGAUGCCUCUCUGUUUUUUUUUAAAUCAUAUGAUUUGAUUUAUCUUUUGACUCAUAAUUUAAGGCCACAAAAGAAAAUUAUUAUCAGCAACAAUUUUUUUCAAACUUUUAAAUGUAUGUAGAUCUAGAACUUUCCCGUCCUCAACUUUCUAAAGAAACACAGAAUGCUUUUUCUCAGGAGGAAUACUUUGUAGAAAUGCUAAGAAAACAACGUAUUUUUCCCAAUAAAGAGCCUUUUUGCCAUUCCUCAGGUUAGUGUUCAACUCAUUGUAUGUCCACAAAGAAAGGCACCACAAUUGCACUGAGGUUAUGGUGCGAGGAAAUAAAACUGUUUUUAAGGUAAUUCUUUGCUGUUCUUUGAUACGAAAAAACCUUCAGAGGGGAUUGAUCCCCAUCGUGUUUUACAAAUGAGGAAGCUGAAGCCAGAGAGGUAGUCACCUGCCCGAGGUCAUCCAGUUAGGGUGGUUCUCAAAGCACCCUUCCGGGACCAGCAGCCUCACUAUCACCCUGGAACGCGUUAGGAAUGCUAAUUCCCAGUCCCUACCCCAGACAUGCUGAGUCAGAAGCUCUGAGGAUGGGCCCAGCAAUCUACGGUUUAACAGGCCCUCCAGGUGGUUUGAAUACAGCUAAAAUUUGAGAACCGUUACCAGUUGUUAGAGGGGAAAAUAAAAGUUUAACAGCGAGAACCCACUUCUCUUCGCUGGAAGUCCUAUUUUUCCAUAACUCCUAGUGACAAAGCCAGAAAUAGAGCCCAGUAGGAAACGGAAACUUAUUCCCGACCACAACUUAGACAAUCUCAGAAAACUCUUAUUAUUUAUAUUGCAUUAAGGGGGCCUUUGGGGGAAGCUGGGCUCCCCACACUAGUAACAAUAGGAUUGUAGGCAAAAAGCGAAAUGAAUCAAUUUAGUGAAAUCUUUUUAGAUAUGGGAAGUGCACCUUAUUUUUAGUGAUUUUUGACUGGGGUACUCAAUAUUUACAAGGAUUCCUUAUAGAAUAUAUGUAGGCUCCUCUAGAGAUCUAAAAUGCUUAUUCCCAGUGCAAUUCAUGCUUCGCUGGUUUUGCUUUACCGGUGUGAUCUUUGGAAGCCUAUGGGCCAAACUCCUUGUCCUUUUCUUGGGUCUCUCCCAGAGCUCACAUAUGGAUGACAGGCAGGUGCCCAGAAUGAAUGGAAGACAAGCAGCAAUGUUCUUGAUAACUGGGAACCACAGGCCCAUCUAAAGGGGACAGUUCUUUCUCACUUCUGGCCAGUUGUUGCCGCAUUGGAAUACAGACUUAGCAUUGUCAAAUCUUCCAGCUUUUCAUAGGGACCAGAAAUCUGAUUUUUCGGGGGGAAAAUUCCAGGUUUUUAAAUGUUAGCAAUAAGUUCAUAUUUUUAGACACCAUGCAUGCCAAAUACAAUGUACGUGUGGGCCACAAUUCGUGACCUCUGCUAUAUAGUAUAUAACACACUGUGAGUGAGUGAUGGUCAGAUUUGGCCAGAGAGCACUCUCUACCUGGAGUUAAGGCAGGUAGUUGUUAACUUUGAGAGCAUAGCCUCAGUUUACUAAAACUUUCCACCAGAAAUGCCCUGGCCCUGGCGAACAUGCAGACGUUAUAGUGUGACCAUAUGUGGGUUUCAGGAUGGGUUAGACCUUGUCUUCCUCUGUGACCCUUACUCUAACUAGUCAACACCACUUUUUUGGGGUUUCUUCUUUUCUGAACUUUUCAUAUCACUCUUAGGCCAGUUUGAUGUUACUCUCUCUGACACCAUUUCUAACAUCAUCGUCACAAACACUUAAGGGAGUUGGAGUUGACAGGCGCAUUAGAAGUGCUCUGGGCCAGGUGCCUUACUUCCAUGUGAGGUGACACAGGUGAGAGUAAAUGCAAUGACCAGACUGGGAUCAACAACUAGUUAUGGCACAGCAGUAGGUGUGGAACCUGGGACCUGAGUCUAAUUCCUGGUUCUUUACAGCUGGUCAUGCAGUGCCAUCUGCUCUGAAGGGACUGUUGACCCUUCAGAGAUGCAGGAAGGGGGUCCAGAUUCGGAAGACCUCCAAGCCAUUUAGCGUCAAUUUCUGAUGCACACAGUGAAAAACAAUAACAAUCCAAUAACCCUACCCCCACUGAGGUGAUGGACUAAUAAGAAGAUAAUACUAGCUUUCCAAAAGGAAAUGCAUUAUUUAAAUUACCAUCAAUUUCCAGCUUAUUUAUUGUCUUCUAUGCCAUAAUUUUGUUCAGUGAAACACGAUAAAAUAGUAUAUAUUGGUAGACGCUGAAAUGUAGUAUCACCACAUUGUAAUACUUUUUCUGUGGGGAGAUUUUAGUUACUGUUCGUUUCCUGAUAGGUUCCUUCGUGGAGUAAGAGUAGUUGGUCUUACAUACUGCACUUUUUAAUAGUCAUUUUAUUAUUUUUAAUUUAAAAAUUAGCCUCUGAACUAUGAAAUCUAAUUUCUAAAAGGGAUAUAAAUUAUUAUCUACUUCAGUGUCUUCCAAACUUUCAGCUGGGGAAUCUAUUCUUCAAGUGAAAUGUUUUGAGGCUGCCCGAUACAUACACAGAGCUGAAGCAAUAGCGAGGGUUCCAGAGCCUCUCCCGCGACAACUUCCCCUAAUGUUCUUUCUUAGACAGUUUUGCUGCAUAAACCCCCACAAUCUUGGUAGCUUACACCAACAAGCAUUCGUUCUCAUGAGAUUCUGCUGAUCUAGGCCAGGCUUAGCCAGGUGACUCUCCUUCAGACUGUCAUCUGGGCUGGGCUUCAGGUUGUGGGUUGGACUCAGGUCUGCUCUUCCACAUGUCUCAUGUGUGUCCUGGGUUAAAGGGGCAGGCAAUACCAGGGAGAAGCUGUUCUUAUGGCAGAUUAUGAAGUUUAAGAGGGCAGGCUCUACGCCAGGCACGUUUCAAGCCUCUGAUCACAUCAUAUCGACUAGCGUCUCAUUGAUCAAAAUAAUUCCCAUGGCCAAGUCCGGACUCAAGGUGCAGGGAGGAGCACCCUACUCACCAUGAGAGUGCUGCAAAGGUGUGUAUACACAAUUCUAUUCCAGGAGAAUGGAGAAUUUGGACCAUAAAUUCAGUCAACCAUGUAUGUAAUCCUACCCCUUGGUGAUCUCUGAGUCAACUCUGUGUAACUCAUAAAACAACAUCAAGCAGUUCAAAAACCAUGCAUAGAGUCCAACCAUCUCAUUUUACAAAUGGGCAAAAUUGAGACUAGUGGUUCCUCAACGCCACACAGCUAGAGACAGGUCUUGAACGCUGAUGAACUGACUCAAAGUUCAGGACUUUCUCCACCACACUGUAAUAGCUCUACCUUCAAAAAAUGGCCGAGUCACUUGAAUUAAAUAGCAAUAUUGUAGAUAUAAUUUUGAAUAUACUGAGCUGUCUUAAUUUUGCUGGUUGGUCUAGAAGUCUAUUUAAUACAGAGACCAGAAGAUGGCCUGAGCACAGUGCAGGAAGUUGGGCCACAUUCCUCCAAGAUCUGGCAUUUAGUGACCCUGUAACCUUGCACACACUAUUUGCUUCUUUAAGCAUCUUUUCUAACAUUUGUCAAAUAGGAUAAUAAUGAUGCCCUCAGACAGUCGUUGUGAGAAUUAUCUGAUACUCAAUAAUUGUGAGGGUUUGUUUUUCCAUUUUUUAUGGUUUAUCAUUCAGUAACCAAGAGCUAUGCCUUCCUUUUCUUGUGCACUGUUAGGAAACUGAAAUAUUGUUUUUCAAGAGGAUAUCCUCCUUAUUGAAGACAUAAAUAUUACAGAAAGAAGGUUAAUCACUUCUCCAUGUAGAAAAGGGCAAAAAGGUCAGUCUCUUUGCCCAAUUCCCAAGGUUUUUCUAAUAUGGAAUUGCCUAAGAUACCAGCAAAAUUGAAAUAACUGCUUUGAAGUCGAAUUCCAGAUACAAUAUGUGUUUAGUAAUUCCUGUAACAGACAGCAAAAUUCAAAAGGCUUUAAUAAUUUAUUCUGAGUGGAAUGCUUAAAGGCCAUUUGGUCAGCAGGGUGCCUACUGGACAUGUAGCUGGUGUGCUUUCUCCAUUUUUUCUUGGUGGUCAGAUGGCAUGAUCAGAACCUCUGUGACAUGUUUGUCUUACUUAAAUCUUUUAUCACCUUGCAUUGCUCUUUUAUCUUGAAACUAGUACUUUUCCUGCCAUGAAAAUGUAUCUAUUUAUUAGUCUGUCAAAAUGUCUAUAAACAUUAGAUUGCUUUUGAAGAGCAAAUGCCUAAUUUGUGGAAAGAAAAUGUUUAAAAACGCUUCCCCCGUAACUUCUUUCUGUAAAAAUUUUGAUAAAUGUAAUUGUGUUCAUAGGGUAUAUUAACACCAACCAGGUGUAGUAACUUAAAUUAUCUGGUGAUUGAAAUAUUUUGUGAAAAUCACUCUAUUGGCUAAAAUAAAAGUCAUAAUGGAGAUUCCUAUAAAUGCAUUUCCUCAAAAUACAAAUAUAUGGCUCAAUAUUUUGCAAACAGUCAUGUAUCCCGGCUGUUUAUAGCAUCUGCUACCUUGAAUUAUGUAGUUCAAAUAUAGCUUCUCUUCCACCUGGGAAUUUCCAGAGAUCCUUUUUUCUUUCUUGAGCUCAAUAACAAAACUUCACAUAAUGUUGGGUAGAAGGCUAUCUAGAGAGUUAUUUGAGUAUAGAUAAUAUUUGUAACUAUACAGACACUCUGGCUCAUAGUCUGUGUUAUACUAAAAGAGGAGCUCUACUAAGAAAUUCGAGGAAAGGGGAAGAUUUGAAUCCAUUUUCAAUAUUGGUACUUUCUGCCCCACCAUAUUCACAUGUACUUCUCCAUUCAUUUAUUUGCUACCUUUCAUUGGCCCCACUGGAUCUAUUUAUCAGAAUAUUCUUCUUGGUGUUCCAUGACUAU
rnacentral:lncRNA from 1 species